rnacentral:lncRNA from 1 species
GCCCACCUCGGGCCUGCUCCAUGCGGCCAGGCCUGCUCCCGGGGUCUCAGCCCUCCCGUCACCGGAUGCCCAUUUCCAGGGAAGUGGCUGCCUGCCCGCUCCUGCUCCUCUGGCCUGCUCACGGCGCCAGAGCGGGGGAAACGUGAUCUCACCUGCGGAACGGGAGCCCGGCCAGGCCUCGCUGCUGAUUUCUUGCCUUCGCCCUGUUCCAAAAAGCCCAGGGGUCCCUCGUGCCACCUCCGGGGGGAGAGCGGGAGGUAGAACCGGACGGAUCCUUCCAGGCGCAGGAGGAAAAUCCAGCGCUGCCGCUGGCCGGCCAUGUAACGUCAGACAGAUGACUCGACCUCUCUGAACCCCCAUUUCUGCCUCCGUAAAAUGGGGACAAACACACCUCCUGGCAAGUUUAGGCGUGGGCGGUGCCGGGCUCUGCGGGCAGUGGUUCUGUUGCUGCCACAGCUGGUCGUGUUCCGGGUACAAGGACCAGGCUCUUUAGGAAGCACAUGGCCCGGGGCAGACUCACUGUGGAGUCUUAAGCCAAUUCCCCCUUAAUUACUGUAAGCAAAAUUAUUUUUUCUGGAUCAGAAUACUCGGUGAUCAUUAUUGAAAUUUUAGAAAAAUGAACAAAGACCAUUAAAAACCAUGAUACUCCU